UGUUUCAGAUGUUUCAAGGGGUCAUAAAUCUUUUUCUUUAGGACGUUUCUGUUGCUACGUUUCUGAUUGCUUCCUUAUUGGAGAUCGAAUAUUCCGAUUCUCGUUUCACUGAUGCACGGCGUUGUAUUUCUUUCUAAGGUCGUUGUUUCCAUUGCGCUUCAUGGAUCGAUUGCCGUGACAUUGGAUUUGCAGAGGUAUUUUGGUCUUUGGUCCGCCUGUGAAAUCUUUCGCCACCGUUGUAUGUCUAGCAAGGUUAUAUUCAAUUCUUUGAAGGGAUUUGUUAGGUCUUAGGGUUUCUUCCGAAUCGUCAUUACAAACGAUAAUGGCCUGUGUCUUUUGUUCUGGCAAGAAGAAUAACAAUCUACAGUUCCUGUUUCGCGAAAGUUUCAAUUGCUAUUCGUAGGCACACUAAGGUGCUGUUGUAUUGAACAUCUGAGAACCGAAGGAGACGCAAAGUUGUGAAAGAGAACGUUGAGUCAUGAUAGACUUCGAUUUCAGGUUGGUCGGCAGCGCUGUCAUAUCGUUCCCGAUUGUGUAGCGUAACGCGCCUUAAUCAGCGAACUAAUGAGUAUUGGGAUUGAAAUGCAUCAUUGCGUUUUCAAUCUUUUUCAUAAUAUUGCAUCACAAUUUGUCCAAAUUAACACUUAGUGUCAACGGACUUAAGGUUCAUGUUUUAGGGUUUAUUUGCCUGCCAUUGCAUGAAAUCGCAUACAGUCCACUAUACAUUACCUAUCCUAACCCAAAAGGGGAAACCUCUCAAAUGUAAUCAGAAUGACAUUGGAUCGAGCACGAUCAAGUGUCUGAAGAAAUAGUUCGCAGAAGGUACCUUCGCUACACGAUUUGAAACAAAAUUCUUUCUAGCAUGCUGCACUACAGUUAUUGACAAACAAAUGAAAACCGAUUGAGUUCAAUGCAUUCGAACGUUGUGUUCCGUAUUAUAGUCGCAUACUUGUCGCAAUCGUCACAUUCUACUCCUGAAAAUCGUUCAUCUGAGAUGAUUAAGCUUAUUGUUGCAAAAACGCACAUGCUAUGUGGCCCGUACUCGCUGUUCCAGAAAUAGUUUAACACCUUUAAGUCUAAUCGAUUGUUAGAAGUAUGCGACUUGAUUCUGAAUCAUACCAAUAAACAUUAAAAAAUAUCCUG